rnacentral:rRNA from 1 species
CACGUAGGGCGCAAGCGUUGUCCGGAAUUAUUGGGCGUAAAGCGCGUGUAGGCGGCCCGGUAAGUCCGCUGUGAAAGUCCAGGGCUCAACCCUGGGAUGCCGGUGGAUACUGUCGGGCUCGAGUCCGGAAGAGGCGAGUGGAAUUCCUGGUGUAGCGGUGAAAUGCGCAGAUAUCAGGAGGAACACCAAUGGCGAAGGCAGCUCGCUGGGACGUGACUGACGCUGAGACGCGAAAGCGUGGGGAGCAAACAGG